rnacentral:rRNA from 1 species
UUCCCGGUGAUCCUGCCAGAGGUUACUGCUAUCGAGAUUCGACUAAGCCAUGCGAGUCGAAUGUUCUUCGUGAACAUGGCGGACUGCUCAGUAACACGUGGACAACCUACCCUUGGGUCUGGCAUAAUCCUGGGAAACUGGGUAUAAUUCCAGAUAGGUCACAGAUGCUGGAAUGCACUGUGGCCGAAAGCUCCGGCGCCCAAGGAUGGGUCUGCGGCCUAUCAGGGUUGUAGUGGGUGUAACGGACCUACUAGCCUACGACGGGUACGGGUUGUGAGAGCAAGAGCCCGGAGAUGGAUUCUGAGACACGAAUCCAGGCCCUACGGGGUGCAGCAGGCGCGAAAACUUUACAAUGCGGGAAACCGUGAUAAGGGAAUCUCGAGUGCCAGCAUAUAAUGUUGGCUGUCCAGAUGCCUAAAAAGCAUCUGUUAGCAAGGGCCGGGCAAGACCGAUGCCAGCCGCCGCGGUAACACCGGCGGCCCGAGUGGUAACCGCUUUUAUUGGGUCUAAAGGGUCUGUAGCCGGCCAAGUAAGUCCCUUGGGAAAUCUGGCAGCUUAACUGUCAGGCUGCUAGGGGAUACUGCUAGGCUUGGGACCGGGAGAGGUGAGAGGUACCUUGGGGGUAGGGGUGAAAUCUUGUGAUCCUCGGGGGACCACCAGUGGCGAAGGCGUCUCACCAGAACGGGUCCGACGGUAAGGGACGAAAGCUAGGGGCACGAACCGGAUUAGAUACCCGGGUAGUCCUAGCCGUAAACGAUGCUCGCUAGGUGUCAGUCACGGUGCGACCGUGAUUGGUGCCGUAGGGAAGCCGUGAAGCGAGCCACCU